UACAGAGGGUGCAAGCGUUGUUCGGAAUUAUUGGGCGUAAAGCGCGUGUAGGCGGCAGUGCAAGUCGGGUGUGAAAGCCCUCAGCUCAACUGAGGAAGUGCGCCCGAAACUGCAUUGCUUGAGUACCGGAGAGGAUGGUGGAAUUCCCGAAGUAGAGGUGAAAAUUCGUAGAUAUCGGGAGGAACACCGGUGGCGAAGGCGACCAUCUGGACGGAUACUGACGCUGAGACGCGAAAGCGUGGGUAGCAAACAGG
rnacentral:rRNA from 1 species